rnacentral:rRNA from 1 species
UACGUAGGCAGCAAGCGUUGUUCGGAAUUAUUGGGCGUAAAGAGCUCGUAGGCGGUUUGUCGCGUCGACUGUGAAAACUGGGGGCUUAACUCUCAGCUUGCAGUUGAUACGGGCAGACUUGAGUUCGGUAGGGGAGACUGGAAUUCCUGGUGUAGCGGUGAAAUGCGCAGAUAUCAGGAGGAACACCGGUGGCGAAGGCGGGUCUCUGGGCCGAUACUGACGCUGAGGAGCGAAAGCGUGGGGAGCGAACAGG